UACGUAGGGUGCAAGCGUUGUCCGGAAUCACUGGGCGUAAAGGGCGCGUAGGCGGCUCAUGAAGGCUGUGGUGAAAGUCCGGGGCUCAACCUCGGAUCGGCCGUGGCGACUCGUGGGCUGGAGCACUGUAGAGGCGGGUGGAAUUCCUGGUGUAGCGGUGAAAUGCGCAGAUAUCAGGAGGAACACCGGUGGCGAAGGCGGAUUCUCUGGGCAGUUACCUGACGCUGAGGACUGAAAGUGUGGGGAGCGGAAGCAGGA
rnacentral:rRNA from 1 species